ensembl:lncRNA
GCACUUCCGGCACAGCGCCGAGCGCACGCAUGGCACGCGUCUCCGGUGGGCGCAGCUCGCGCUGCCCCGGGAAGAAGUACCAGUCUCAGAAGGGGAAGCAUCUGAAACUAACAGCUUGGCCUAUCUGCCCAGCUGAUACAGACCUGCUGCAAAACGCUGGCAGCAGUAGAAAGGUAUCUUGUUGCCUAGCGAAGCUCUUGCAUUUUUAAAGAUAAAUAUUUAUAUACGUAGCGUAGGAGGCUGACAGAAAAUACCAGGCUUUAAUUCGCACCUCUGUGGAAAACACCGGCCCUGAGAAACAGACCAAGACAAUGGAUGAAGAGCAAUAUUUCGCUUCUGAAGAAAAUAUCCCCCUGUCAUCACGAUCCUGGCUCUGGAAGAAGACAAAUUCUGUUUCUCCUGCUGCUAAAAGCCAAAGCAAAACAGAAGCGUGGGUGCAAACAGUUAUACCUUCGAUCUAUCAAGUCUCUAAAGAUUCAGUAAAGAGUAAUGCUGACCCUAAAUUACAGACCUCCAUUCACUCAUCUGUUCCUCUACCAGGCAGUGUUAUUGGUUAUUCAGAUGAGACACAACAACAUCCUUCAUGUGUGAUUCAAAAUGUUAUGACUGAAGAGGAACCUGAUCAGGUAGACCAUGCAAACACAUCUGGAGUUUGUUCUGCUGACAACAACAAAGUGACUGAGCUGGAGGAAUGUAGAACCAAAGAAGAGCUGCUGUAUAUUCCAUACAAAUUAGCUAAAUUAUAUAUCACCAAGAUUGUAGAAGAUAUGCAACAAAUGAAAAUCAAACACACAAAAAUAAUCAAAGAACUGGGCAAUAUAAGGAAAGAAAACCAGGAACAGACUAUAACUACUAUGAAGAAACAUUAUGGUGAUAAAAUGAGGAGUGUGAAAGCCCAGUUAGAAGCUUACCAAGAGCUGAUGAAUAAGAGGAGCACGCACUGGCAAGUUACUAUUAAGAAUCUGAGGGAAAGGAACAGACAGCUGAGCCAAGAUAAGGAAGAACUUCUUCACCAAAUAAAUCAUCAAACAGAGAAAUGGAAAGAAGAAAAGACUUGGAUUCUAGAGAAUGUGUCUAAAAACCUAGAUCGUCUUUACGCCCAGCACAUCUUGACUUUGCAGGAACUUCAGAACCUCAGUCUAUAUGUGGAAAAAGUGCAUGACCUUGUGAAUUUCCGAAUAAAAAAUCUUCAGAAAAAAUCUGAAAAGACAGCAAUAGAAAAGGCAGAUGUGUCAGUGGUUUUAGAAUUAAAGGCAGAACAGGUAGCUGAUAAAGAGAUGAAGCCUGAAUGGUUGGUGGAAAAAGGUUAUCUUUGGGAAGCACGGGUCAUGCUGCAAAAGAUACAAGAAUCUUUGGAUAAACGAGAGAAAGAAGUCGCUGAGCUUCUACAAAGUGCAAGGAGAUAUAGCAAAGCAUUGAAACCUCAAAUCACAAUGCAAAUAUUCUUGAAAACUCUUGUCCAGAGGGUUCACAAUAUAUACUGUGAUGUCCCCGAGGCACAGCAGUACCUCCAUCAGCUUAUCAGGAAGAACAAGGAUGAAAGGGCUGAUCGGAAAGAAGCCUUUAAUAAUGCUCAGGCUGACAUUCUCUCCUAUAAAGUGUUUUAUGGAAAUGAACCUAUGGAUGACAAAAGGACACAGGUCUUGACGAAGCUUUUCAGAAAUCUUGGGAGAGCCAAGUCUGAAUUAGAGUAUGUUGAAACAGAGGAGAUUGUGUUUGAUUGUAUCCAGACAGGGGAAAUCCCCAACUGGAUUAAAAAGGAUUGUCUUUAUGUAGCCUUGACAGCGGACCCAGGAAAAGAUAUAUACUCUGCAAAGACAAGCCACCUGCCAGACGAAGUCAUGAAGAAGUUUAAAUCACAAAUCAAGGCUGCUAAUGAAACAAAGGAACAGUAAAAGAGAUACCAGCCCUGGAGCAAGGUCCCUAUUUUAGAGGUGGACACCAGGUAGGUAGCCUGGAAAGAAGAGGUGCUUUCCUCUGUACUUCUGGAGUGGAAACUGGAUUGGAAGAAAUACAAGCCUGUUCCUUACUACAGCAACUACUUACUGCUACUGCUUAACUGCCAGCAAAGGUCAUAUAGCCAUUUAAGCAUUUUGAAAAUUAUACUCACUUUAAUAAAUGAUUUGAAGGCAUCUUAAAAAUGAUAGCA